rnacentral:rRNA from 1 species
UUUCCCAUUCCGCAAGGAAGUAAGAUCCCUGAAAGAUGAUCAGGUUGAUAGGUCUGAGGUGGAAGUGUGGCGACACAUGGAGCUGACAGAUACUAAUCGAUCGAGGACUUAACCUAA